rnacentral:rRNA from 1 species
AGAGUUUGAUCCUGGCUCAGGAUGAACGCUGGCGGCGUGCUUUAGGCAUGCAAGUCGAACGGUUUCCGCAAGGAAGCAGUGGCAGACGGGUGAGUAACGCGUAGGAAUCUACCCCUAGGAGGACCAUAGCCCACCGAAAGGUGGGGUAAUAGUCCAUAGUCUCGUAAGAGUAAAGAUCUUAACUGGUCGCCAAGGGAGGAGCCUGCGUCCUAUCAGCUAGUUGGUGGGGUAAAAGCCUACCAAGGCAAUGACGGGUAGCUGGACUGAGAGGUCGAUCAGCCACAACUGCACUGAGAUACGGGCAGUACACCUACGGGUGGCAGCAACCAGGAAUAUUGCGCAAUGGACGAAAGUCUGACGCAGCGACGCCGCGUGGAGGAUGACGGCCUUCGGGUUGUAAACUCCUUUUGCCAAGCCCUUCACGGCUUGGCGAAUAAGCCUCUACUAACUACGUGCCAGAAGUCUCGGUAAUACGUAGGAGGCAAGCGUUAUCCGGAUUCAUUGGGCGUAAAGUGUGCGUAGGCGGUUUAGUAAGUCUUUUCUUAAAUACCGAAGCUUACCUUCGGGAUUGGAGGAGAUACUAUUAGACUUGAGGGUUGACAGGGGUGCUGGAACAGCUAGUGUAGCAGUGAAAUGCGUUGAUAUUAGCUGGAACACCAAGGGCGAAGGCAAGCACCUGGGUUUUCCCUGACGCUGAGGCACGACAGCUAGGGUAGCGAAACAGAUUAGAUACCUGUGUAGUCCUAGCCGUAAACGAUGUCCGCUAGCUCUUUGCACUUUGUGUAAGGGGCGUAAGUUAACACGUUAAGCGGACCGCCUGGGGAGUACGGCCGCAAGGCUAAAACUCAAAGGAAUUGACGG